AGCUAUAACGUUACUAUAGAAGUCUAUGGGAAAACAUUUGGUUGUGUGUAACCUGUAGGUGACAGCACAGCCAAGCCCUAAUCGAAGAUUGCGAAUUGACUUUACCGGACUCUGGCAGUUGACGCUAUGAACAGCACUGUGAGCUCUACCUUGGAAGUUACGAGCAAAGGUGGUAUCGCGAGCUUUCUGCAUCCCUGAAUGGGAUGGUGGAGGUAUAUCGGCACUCAUGCACAGGACACGGAAACUCUCACUUCCAAUGGGACAUUUUGAGAGGCCUAUCUGAAGUCCAGUAUUGGCAGUGGAAGAUCGACGUCCCCUUCUCAUUCCACUACCCUCUACCU